rnacentral:misc_RNA from 1 species
AAAAAGGGAAGGUGGGAUUUGGUGAGAAAACUUACAUGAGCUAAUCAACGGGUUGUGAAUGUUUAGUUUCCUCUUAGAGAUUAGUUUAAUGGUCCAACCGAGCAUUGAUAAAGAGUAAGACUUGUGCCCAAAUUAAUUUUGAAUAUAUUAAAUCAUAUUAGUUUAAGAUGAACUAUUAGAUGCUUUGUGCAUGAAUAAAAAGGAGAAACAAGAGUGAAGAGGCCAAAAU